rnacentral:rRNA from 1 species
GACGAACGCUGGCGGCGUGCUUAACACAUGCAAGUCGAACGGGAUUUAGUAGACAGAAACCUCGGUGGAAGAUUACUAAUGAGAGCGGCGAACGGGUGAGUAACGCGUGAGCAACCUGCCUAUGACAGUGGGAUAGCCUCGGGAAACCGGGAUUAAUACCGCAUAAAAUCGUAGAAACACAUGUUUCAACGGUCAAAGAUUUAUCGGUCAUAGAUGGGCUCGCGUCUGAUUAGCUAGUUGGUGAGAUAACAGCCCACCAAGGCGACGAUCAGUAGCCGGUCUGAGAGGAUGAACGGCCACAUUGGAACUGAGACACGGUCCAAACUCCUACGGGAGGCAGCAGUGGGGAAUAUUGCACAAUGGGGGAAACCCUGAUGCAGCGACGCCGCGUGAACGAAGAAGGUAUUCGUAUCGUAAAGUUCUGUCCUAUGGGAAGAUAAUGACAGUACCAUAGAAGAAAGCUCCGGCUAAAUACGUGCCAGCAGCCGCGGUAAUACGUAUGGAGCGAGCGUUGUCCGGAAUUAUUGGGCGUAAAGGGUACGCAGGCGGUUUAAUAAGUCGAAUGUUAAAGAUCGGGGCUCAACCCCGUAAAGCAUUGGAAACUGAUAAACUUGAGUAGUGGAGAGGAAAGUGGAAUUCCUAUGUAGUGGUGAAAUACGGUAGUAUUUACGGAGGAAUACCAGUAGCCGAAGGCGACUUUCUGGACCAAACUGACGCUGAGGUACGAAAGCGUGGGGAGCAACGGAUUUAGAUUCCCUGGGUAGUCCACGCCGUAACGAUGAAUGCAGGNUGCUGGGGG